rnacentral:rRNA from 2 species
GGAAGAACAAGUGCGAGAGUAACUGCUCGCACCUUGACGGUACCUAACCAGAAAGCCACGGCUAACUACGUGCCAGCAGCCGCGGUAAUACGUAGGUGGCAAGCGUUGUCCGGAAUUAUUGGGCGUAAAGGGCUCGCAGGCGGUUUCUUAAGUCUGAUGUGAAAGCCCCCGGCUCAACCGGGGAGGGUCAUUGGAAACUGGGAAACUUGAGUGCAGAAGAGGAGAGUGGAAUUCCACGUGUAGCGGUGAAAUGCGUAGAGAUGUGGAGGAACACCAGUGGCGAAGGCGACUCUCUGGUCUGUAACUGACGCUGAGGAGCGAAAGCGUGGGGAGCGAACAGGAUUAG